AUAUUCGGUUUGUUGAAAUCCCAUAUUCAAUGACCGAUAAAGAAAUAGAAAAAGCCAUAUUUGAAUUAACUAUGCCAAUCAUGAGCCAAGCCUGUCGGGAAACUGCAGGAAGGUGCAACGACUAGAUAAAUUAACCUAAGCAAAAGCAGUCAUUUAUUUGAUUGCUUUUUUUGUAUGGCGAAAUAUCCACGAGCGCUUGAUACCUUAACGUUUAAGGCGAAGGUAAUGAUAUAGUCUGAACUUAUAGGAAACUAUAAG
rnacentral:ncRNA from 1 species